UGAGUAAGACCUGACACCAGACUGCCUAAAUUCAAAACACAUUCUCUGAAGCUGGCUAAAGCAGCAUUACUCUUGGGGUUAUAGAUGGCAUGUGUACUCCCACCUCUCCUUUCUUGACUUAGCAAAAUGAAUGGAUUUUUCCUGACAUGGGGGGAGCUGACUAUUAUGCGUUCAUACAAAUGCUAGUUUAUUUUUCCAACAAACUUUUGAAACCCUACAAAGUACCAAUAAUAACUUAUAAGGAAGCCUUGUAAAUAUAAGUAAUGCUUACAUGAGAAAACUAGUUUUCAUCACAAGAGCGUUAUGAAUUAAUUGCACAUAUAACACUCUGAAACUAAACUUCUUCCCAGAUAAACAUUAGAGAAAACUCGUUGACCUGUUCCCACUGGAACCUGCUGAGCUAACCAGGGGAUUUGUGCCUUACUUUGUUUUUCCUCUAUGCUUUUGAGGGGCUGUUCUCUAUUAUGCUUUAGUAAUGUAUGGACAGCCCAGUAGUAAAUGGACACAUUUAGAGUCUUCUCCGCAGUAUUUGCCUCGCCGCUUCUCUGUCCUUGGUCUUCCCUGGUCUUUCUUUGGCUUUUGAAACUACUGUCCUCUCCCUUUUGAAGGGACCACAGCUCUCCCUUACAGGUUCCUUGCUCUGCUUAAUCCUCACAUGUUUCUGUUCUCUGGGCUAGAGAUCGAUCCUGGAUUUUCAUCCUGCUCUAAAGCCAAGGGUUCUCCACUUGGCCACAUGGUAGAAUCACCUGGAGAACUUUCAGAAAUUUCUAUGCCAAGGCCACACCCCAGAAUCUCUGGAAGCAAAGUCAGGCAUUAAUUCCAUGUUGUGGUUUUGUUUGUUUGUUAAGUUCUCCAGUUGAUUCCAAAGUGCGGCCAAGGUCCACUGCUGGACAUGCUUGUGGCCUCAUCCACCUUUGGCCUCUUUCGCUGUGAGAGAAUAACCCCAAAUCUCUUACUUAUACCCUGAUUUUUUAUACUAGAUAUGUUAGAACUUUCCACUAGGUAUCUCAUGGGUACCUCAGCCAUGCCAAAAAUGAAAUUAAUGUGUUACCCCCCGUUUUAUUAUUAUGAAAUCAUUCUCACUUCCCACUAGCUCUUUUUUUCUCCUUCCAAAAUGGUUGGGGCUUAAUCAGCUAGCGCCAUCCUUAGCUUUUCAUGAGGAGUUGCAAAUGUGCUUGGAGUUAAGGGGGCAGAGCUGUGCACUGAACUGGGCCUCCUCUCUUCACAUUUGGUUAGGACCAGUCCCAAGGUGGUGCUCCUGACAGCACAGCACAGGCUUUUCUUUUUUGGCAGGUGAGAUGAAAGAGAAUGACUGUAGUUAUGGUGCUGCAUCAGCUCCCUACCUCCCAUCCCUGGGCUUCACUUCCACUCAGUUACAUAAGCCAGAAGUCAGAGUCCUCUUAGCCCCAUCUCAGCUCCAGAAUUCCUUCACAUUUUGCAUUCCAUUCUUUAAUGUACUUUUAUCUCAAUAUUUAAAAUAAUCUAUCAUACAGGAAAAACAAAAAUUGUCCAUUUAAUAAGUGCUAUUCAAUCUUGGGUUCUGUUUGUUUUUUGCUUUUUCGGGCCGCACCCUCGGCAUAUGGAGGUUUCCAAGCUAGGGGUUGAAUUGGAGCCACAGCUGCUGGCCUAUGUCACAGCCAUGCCAGAUCCUUAACCCACUGGGUGAGGCCAGGGAUCGAACCCACAACCUCAUGGUUACUAGUCGGAUUCAUUUCCACUGUGCCACAAUGGGAACUCCCAAUCUUGUUUUCCACUUUAGAAAUCAGGUCUGAAUUGAAAAGACUGACUACUCACCGAAUUUAAGAUCCAGUCUCUCCUCUCAGGUUUAAAAUAUUUUGAGAAUCAAACACCUAAGUGAUAACAUUUUUCCCUGUACUUUUAGGUGAUUUUUAUCAGUGAGUGAAUAAUGCCCAGACACUUGGAAAAAAGUGGUAAAUUACCACAUUUUCCGGUUGAUGUUGAUAGAAUUUUUAACAAGCAGAUCCUUUUGCCAAGAGGUGUUUAUGUUAGACUUCAAAGAUCUCUGAAACAGUGGUCAGUCUCCUACUCUCUCAGGAAAAUACUCAGUAAAAAAAGAUCUUUACAUAGUCAAGGAAAGAUGGGCUUGUUUUUACUUAGGUUUUGAUAAUUAGUAUUAUCAUUUUCACAGGUCAUUAUUCUUAUAGCCACCUAUUUUUAUCCAUUUCUUAAUUACAGUAAUUCUAUCAUUUUUUUAAAAUGAACACCUUUACCUUCGAGUUCCUGAGAAUGCUUAUACCUGAGAAGAAAAACCUUGUAAAGACAAUAUUGUGAGUUCCUUUUACAAACUAUGUUGUUUGUGUAUUAGUAACACAUUCACAUGGUACAACCUACACAAGGAUAGUGAGAAGGAAAUUGUUCUCUCCAGAGUUGCAAACCACUGUUUGCAGUUUCUGGGGACCAUUCCAGGGAUACCAUGCAUGGUGAAGCUUAGACGUUUUUACAGGAAUGACGGCACAGUAUGCACUGCCCUGUGCCUUGCCCUUUCCAUCAGAUGUGAAGGUUUUUCCACAUGAACACAUAUAGAACUAAAGCUUUUCAUUUGAGCCACUUUCUUAUGAAGGCAAACAGUGAAAAACGUGAAUGUAUCUUCUCUUAUCUAUGUUGUUAUCCUUUGUCAUACAUUUUUUUUCCCAUAAAGAAAACCAGUGUUCCCCUAGGUAACCCAUUGCUCACAUGUGUAAUAGUCUAUGUUUUCUAAAUCAUUUUUUAUUUUGCUACAAAUUUUCUUAAAAAACAGGUAUUCUAAACCACAUUUAAAAGAAAAAACUAUCCAUUUUUUCCAUCCCACUAGAGAAAAAUCAAAAGGCAUUUAGCUAUAUAAACUUCCUCAACCUUCGCCAGAUUCAGAUGUGGCUCUAUCUGCUCAUUUGUGUACCUUUUUUCAUUUCCAUACUAUUUGCCAAAACUCAUCAUUCAGCAGUUCUUCAGUUAUUUUGUCAACAAGGGCCUUAAAAAUUAAUUUCUUUAUCAUAUACAUCAUUAUACAUAUGGCAAAUAUAGACCAAUAGCAUAAUCAAUCAUUAAUUUCUAUACUUUCAUCUAACUAUCAAGAAUAGGUUGAGCAGAGUUUUACAACCAGUUGUGUUCAUAUAUCUUUUUGACUAUAGGAAAAAUAUUUGAUUUUUAUUUCCAGCAAUAUAGAUGAUUAGAUAUUCUAUAAAAACCAUAUAGAAAAAGUGUGGCGGUUCCUUAAAAAAUGAAAAAUAGAUUUACUAUGUGGUUCAACAACCCUAUUCCUGGGCAUGUAUCCAGAAAAAAUGAAAACUCCAAUUCAAAGAGACACAUGCAUCCCAGUGUCCAUAGAGGUACUAUGUACAAUGGCCAAGAGAUGGAAGCCAGAGACAGGUUUCAGACGGCAGAGUAGAAGGACUGGUGCUCAUUUUCUCUCAUGAAAACAACAAAAUUACAACUAACUUGUGAGCAACUUUCAGCAAAAUGGACUGGAAACUAUCGCAAAAGUUAUCGUACUCCAAAAGACAGAGGAAGCCACAUCAAGAUGGUAGGAGGGAUGGUUAUGCAAUAUAAGCAACCCCAUACCCUCUGGGUGGGCAGCCCACAGACUGGCAAGUAUCUGUAGCAAAGAGGCUUCCCCAUGGGAGUAAGAGUUCCAAGCCCCACAUGAGGUUCCCACAACUGGGGAUCUGGUAUUUGGAGGAGGAGCCUCCAGAGCAUUUGGCAUCGAGGGUCAGGAGGGCUUGAGCACAGGAGCUGCACAGGACUGGGGGAAACAGAAACUCCACUCUUGAAAGGCACACACAGGCUUUCGUCUUGGGGCUAAGCAGAGAUUCCAUAGGAAUCUGGGUCAGAUCUGCCUGCAGUUCUUGAAGGAUCUCCUGGGAAAAUGGGGUGACUGUGGCUCAUGAGAAGAGAAUACAAAUGCAGGAUACUGGAGAUGCACUUGCAGUUAAGAGACCAAUAACUUAAAACAAUCUUGUGUGUGUGU
rnacentral:lncRNA from 1 species